rnacentral:rRNA from 1 species
AACCGUGCAAAGGUAGCGUAAUCAUUUGUCUAUUAAUUGUAGACCAGUAUGAAAGGCAUAAUGAGGGUCCGUCUGUCUCUUAUAAUAAAUCAAUUAAACUGAUCUCCUAGUAAAAAAGCUAGAAUAUACACACAAGACCAGAAGACCCUGUGAAGCUUAAACUAAACUAUUAAACCCAAUAAUACUUACUUUCGGUUGGGGCGACCUUGGAAAAAAAAAGAACUUCCAAAUAUAUGACCAUAACUCAAACACCGGCCCACAAGCCUAUAUAGACCCAGUACAGCUGAUAAUUGAACCAAGUUACUCCAGGGAUAACAGCGCCAUCUUCUUCAAGAGUCCAUAUCAAAAAGAAGGUUUACGACCUCGAUGUUGGAUCAGGACAUCCUAA